ACAUUUAACUGCACCUGUUGCAUUUCUGAAGCAGUAUUUCUUUCUUUGUAGAACUUUUACUGCAUUCAACAUUCUCAAAAGAUUCCAACUUUUUCAACUGAAGAUCUUCACAUCAAGCAAACUGGUGCCAGUUAUCAAAGACAAUCACAAACUUCAAUGUUGAAGUAUCAUUUACUCAAAUGAAAAUGAACAAAAAAUACUCUGUUCGAGAGCGAGGUACAUUUUGCGACCAGCCCCAACCCUGUCCCCAGGCAGAUGAGUAUCAGACAAUGGAGGCCUGGGAGCUGCAGCUGGAGCCGUCUCUAGGUAAUGUACAACACCAGCUUGCCCCAGGCUGGCUGACAUGAGGUGACGUUUGAGAGCUGACACAGUCAUUGCGGCGACUGCGGCAGAUGUGAGCAUCACCAAGGGAGUCCGGCUUCAGGAUUAUUGCAACGAUAUGCCCUGACAGCACAGGUGCAUGGACAGCAAAGCCUAUUGACUUGUUAAAGUGAUUUCCCUGCCAGGCUGAUGGGGUCACUACGCAGCACCAGGUCUCAAGAUGUGGUCGGGCACGAAUCAAAAACAUGCCUGGGCUGUUCCAAGAUAGUUCAUGGGAGGAUAAGAAACUUGUCACCAUCAAAGCCUUUUUAACGUAUAGAUUUUUACUUUUCCAUGGACUAAGCAACACGAUCAUAGACGUUUUCUUGGAAGUCCCCGUCAGAAUAUUUGCAUGAAAGCCCACAUUAAGAGACCUACUGCACAUUGUACUCAUGCAAAUACAUUUUGUAACUGCAUUGAUGACAUAGAACCUUUCGAGGUGAAAUUCCAGGACAUCUUAUUAACGUUAGAAAGGAAAGGAAAGUUAUUUCAUCAGCAAUAUUUUCAGCACCAUGGAAAGACCCCACAAUUCUGUUGACGUACAUUUACAGUGGAAACCAGCUAUUUGCAAUACACUUUGGUGCAAAAAUCGGCUAGUUGCAAAGAAUUCUGAAAUCCAAAACCAUUUCCCAUUAACACCAUUG